UGUAUGCUCUGGCAUACUAUUGUAUGCUAGAGCUUCCCCCUAUGGUUUAUUAACUUAUUUGGCGACUGAAAAUACAGUAAUUAUAGUUUGUACAUUUACAAUGAGGCGAAGUCCCCCCCCCCCCCCUUCUAAAUGACAAAUGUAUUAUAAACAUUGAAGCUCGAGGUAUUUUUUUUUCGGGUGCACGCAUCUCAGGCUUGAAUGAGAGCCGGGGCUAGGCUAGUCUCGGGGCUAAUGGCCGAGUCUCGGGCUAACGGCUAGCACAACUGAGUGUGUUGACGAACGAGCGGUGACUAUUCCUUUUUAACUUUUUUUUUAACCGCAGUUUCAAAAUUCAUUACGCACUAGCGCGACUAGUGAAACCGGCGUGGAUUUUUGUCGAGUAUAGCAAGUAGCGUAGGUAAUGGAGACAAGCUAAACAAAACGUGAGCUACCGAGAUCGGCUACGGCUAGGCUAAAGCUAAAUGCUAAACACUCAAAUGUGUUGACGAACGAGCGUUUGAAAUCCCACAAAGAGUCAGCCCCCUUCAGGACGCCAUUCGUCACAUUUCAUUAAGGACCAACAAAACAGGCAAAUUGUGUGCGAGGUACAUAAAUGCAGUCAAAGGUAAGGCGUUGUCUGAUGUUAUAUGCUGCGGAAUUAUUACAUAAUAUGGCAUAUACUGUAGAUAAAACAUAUACAGUUAUUAUCAGAUGAACACUAAAUAUGAACCCUGAGUUUAUUUUUCCAGUUUCCGACUCAGUUUGUAAACGAGCCGUUAUAUAAAUAAUUAAUUCCAUGUUUUGUCUUACUUCAGUAGAAGAACACCAUGUGAAACCGAACAAAUAAAACCAAAUUUAUUCAACAAGAUAUGUUUUCUAAAUUACCAUGGACCACUCAAUAAUGGAAGACGAGAUUGCAAAGCCUGUUUUUUCCCCUAAAAACUAUUGUUGCUGUCUGCUACAGGAUGUGAACUAUUUGCAAAGAGUACAAUCGGCAGAGGACAAUUUGUUGCUGAAUAUCGGGGAUAUAUGAUAAAUGAUGCAGAAUACUAGAGCAGAAGAUGAGUUUACCACCAAUCAUGUACUGCGUUUAUGUUUACAUUCAAGUGGAGAGGGAAAACAUGGUGCAAUGAUGCUUCAUAAGAAGAUGAGUCAUUUGGGCGACCAGUGAAUGAUGAACACAGGAGGCCAAAUUGCCAGAUGAAAAGGAUUGAUGUGGAUGGUGUGCCACACCGAUGUUUGUUUGCUUUCAAUGACAUUCAAGAGGGAGAAGAAAUGACCGAUAAUUAUGGUGGCGAAGACUGCCCAUGGAGAACACAAAUGACCAGCGUGACAGUCACAGAUGUGGCUCCUCAACCCUCUUUACUGCCUCGGAGUCAGAUGCAACAUACACCAGAUGACCAAGACAAGACCCAAUGAGACUACUUUAAGAGAAAACUGUUGCAAUACUGCUGGUCCAAGCAACAUACACCAGGUGACCAAGACAAUACCUAAUGAGACUACUUUACAAGAAAACUGUUGCGAUACUGCUGGUCCAGGCAACAUACACCAGGUAUAAUCAUAUCCAUCACUGUUUCAUGAUAUUUGGUAUCUCUAUAUCUGUGCAUUUGUGAUGAUGGACAGUAAUUUUCAUGAUAAAGUACUAUAUGUAUGCACAACAGGCAAUUUCACAUAAUGCAUUGGAAAGGUUAAUGCGAGCGGACUAUUUUAGGUCGAUUUAAUUUGACACAGAGAUCAUUAUGUUCUGGAGUUAUGUCUCUUUUCUGGACCCUCACGGUGUCCCCACAGCACACGUUUACCAAGUGUGUGUGAGGGGAGAAAAACGGUGUCGAAGGGGCAAAGAACUGACUAAGUGUUAACAAGAAUGUCCCCACAAUGUUUUUGAGUUUAACAUCUAGAAAACACAGUUUUAAAAGAUGACGUUGUUCAGUCAGAUUUGUGCAUCUAUAUUUUAGACGGUUUAUUUGAGGCUAAGUAUCGGUUUCUUGUAUCAUGUUCUCCAAUUUUGUUUUCCAAAUUAUAUUCCAGAUGACCAAGACAAGACCCAAUGAGACUACUUUAAGAGAAAACUGUUGCGAUACUGUUGGUCCAAGCAACAUACA